CUGCAUUGGAACAGUUUGAUAAGUAACAAUAACUGCAAAUGUAGUGAUCUUUCCAUAAUUGCUGCUGCAUAUUAAACCCAGCUCUGUCUAGAAGAUGUUCCCCAUAUUACAACAUACAGAGCGGUUUACAGCUGUCAGUGUCAAAGAAUUUUAAUGAUUAGAUUUUGAGUUGUGAUGACAGUUAUGAAAUAGGACAAAAUUGGUUCUAAAUAUUGGAAAAAUAGCAUAAACACUAUGCAUUUAAUAUCAUAAACAUAUUUCCAUAAUUGUUUG